rnacentral:rRNA from 1 species
UACGGGGGGGGCAAGCGUUGUUCGGAAUUGCUGGGCGUAAAGGGCUCGUAGGCGGCCAACUAAGUCGGAUGUGAAAUCCCCAGGCUUAACCUGGGAACUGCAUCCGAUACUGGAUGGCUUGAAUCCGGGAGAGGGAUGCGGAACUCCAGGUGUAGCGGUGAAAUGCGUAGAUAUCUGGAGGAACACCGGUGGCGAAGGCGGCAUCCUGGACCGGCAUUGACGCUGAGGAGCGAAAGCCAGGGGAGCAAACAGG